AAUCUUCCUAACUGUUGCAGCAAGCAGACUUAAAGGCUUGUCAUUUUCUUUUCAAUAACACUUAUACAUAUGAUGGAUAACACGACUCUAUAUAGUUAUGAACAAAAUAACUUUGUUAAAUUUGGGUCAGGCCUAACUCACUCCAAAAGCUAGCUCAAGAGGGAGGAGUGCCUAUAGCCCAUAUAAGGGCACAUUACCCCUUUUUACAACCGAUGUGGGAUUCAACACACCCCUCACACCCAAAAUUUUUACUGGUGCGUGGCAUUUUUAUGGGGCGCCCAACAUCGGAUGGGGAGGCUCUGAAGCCCAUACAAGGGGCACAUUACCCCUUUCCACAACCGAUGUGGGAUUCAACACACCCCUCACGCCCAGAAUUUUUACUGGUGCGUGGCAUAUUUAUGGGGCGCUCAACAUCGGAUGGGGAGGCUCUGAUACCAUGUUAAAUUUGGGCCAGGCCUAACUCACCCCAAAAGCUGGCUCAAGGGGGAGGAGUGCCUAUAGCCCAUAUAAGGGGCACAUUACCCCUUUUCACAACCGAUGUGGGAUUCAACACACCCCUUUCCAAAAAAGUGCCAAAUGUGCCGCCCCAAAGUGGCACCCAAUACGGAGACGUUACCGUGUGCAGGGUUCCUGGGCUAUAUAGGAUUAAAGUAGCGCCUCUACUAACAGUUUAAGUUUUUGGUAGAAUGGUAUGCGCCCUAAUAGUAUCAGAGCCUCCCCAUCCGAUGUUGGGCGCCCCAUAAAUAUGCCACGCACUAGUAAAAAUUCUGGGCGUGAGGGGGUGUGUUGAAUCCCAUAUCGAUUGUGUAAAGGUAAUGUGCCCCUUAUAUGGGCUAUAGGCACUCCUUCCCCUUGAGCUAGCUUUUGGGGUGAGUUAGGCCUUACCCAAAUUUAACAUGGUAUCAGAGCCUCCCCAUCCGAUGUUGGGCACCCCAUAAACCAGUAAAAGUUUUGAGCGUGAGGGAGUGUGUUGAAUCUCACAUCGGUUGUGGAAAGGGGUAAUGUGCCCCUUAUAUGGGCUAUAGGCACUCCUCCCCCUUGAGUUAGCUUGUUAGCUUUUGGAGUGAGUUAGACUUGACCCAAAUUUAACAAACUCAAUUGGCAAAAAAUUCAGAUCUAUUUCAAACAAUUAAAAUGACUUCACUGAUGUUUUCAUUCUACCUUAUUUUUCCAUGUACCAAG
rnacentral:lncRNA from 1 species